GCUCCCGUAGUUCAGUUGGUUAGAACACGAGUCUUAUAGGGGGACGUUCCCCUUAGCACGCUCGGGGUCGCGAGAUCGAGACUCGCCGGGAGCA